rnacentral:snRNA from 1 species
AUACCUACCUGGCAGGAGAGAGACCAUGAUCACAAGGGGUUUUUCCCAAGGUGAGGAUACACUGCACUCCAGAUGUGCUGACCCCCGUGAUUUCCCCAAAUGUGGGAAACUCGGCUGCAUAAUUUGUGGUAGUGGGAACUGCAUUUGCGUUCUCCCCC